GGCAUGGUGGCGUAGUGGUUGGCACAUUUGUAUCGCACCUCCAUGGUUGGGGAUUCAAUUCCCGCCUGUGCCC